ACGAACGCUGGCGGCGUGCUUAACACAUGCAAGUCGAACGGAAAGGCCCUGCUUUUGUGGGGUGCUCGAGUGGCGAACGGGUGAGUAACACGUGAGUAACCUGCCCUUGACUUUGGGAUAACUUCAGGAAACUGGGGCUAAUACCGGAUAGGAGCUCCUGCUGCAUGGUGGGGGUUGGAAAGUUUCGGCGGUUGGGGAUGGACUCGCGGCUUAUCAGCUUGUUGGUGGGGUAGUGGCUUACCAAGGCUUUGACGGGUAGCCGGCCUGAGAGGGUGACCGGCCACAUUGGGACUGAGAUACGGCCCAGACUCCUACGGGAGGCAGCAGUGGGGAAUAUUGCACAAUGGGCGGACGCCUGAUGCAGCAACGCCGCGUGCGGGAUGACGGCCUUCGGGUUGUAAACCGCUUUCGCCUGUGACGAAGCGUGAGUGACGGUAAUGGGUAAAGAAGCACCGGCUAACUACGUG
rnacentral:rRNA from 1 species